rnacentral:lncRNA from 1 species
GGGAUGGGGGUGAGAACAUGGGGUGGGGGAGAUGGGAAGGCAGGAAGGCAGACAGUACAAAGGGCGGGCAGGUCUGGAGCUGUGAACAAAGCCCCCGAGAGGAAGGUCAGCUGAGAGAAUGUGGAAUGGAGGCAGCCUUUGAAGGGGAAGUUUCACCCAUAAUCUCAGGGUGAUUCUGUGGUGAGGGUUCCUUCACCCUCUGUCUUACACUGUUGUGUAGAGAUAGCUGAACUGUGAGGGGGAGGACCAGGCAGAAGAGAGCUAUUUGCACAAAAUUGUGUUAUGUUGCUUCUGGCUAUGGGGCUAACUAGUUUAAUCAAGGAGUGAGUUCUACGAGGGGCACAAGGAGAAGGGAAGUAUAGGGCUCCCUGGAACUGGCUCAUUUUAUGCAUGUUGGAUGGAAACAGAUUUGAGAAAAGAAAGCGACAUAUUGCCAAAAAAAAAAAAAAAAAAAAAAAAAGAACCCUCAAGAAGAAGGAAAAAAGGAACUAAAACCCUAAUGCCCUUAAAAAAGAAAACCGAAAAAAAAAAGUCAUAUAUUAUGUCUUUGGACUAAAUCCAUUGGUGUUCUGCCAACUUCAAAUAAUAGUGUAACUUGAUUAAGAAACUUUACAGGAUUUAAAGUUGUUGGCUUUUCUGACUCCUCGCUCAGACUUCUCCGUAAGUCACUGUCUAUACCAGGCUAAUUUGUUCCCAGAUUCCUUAAUCUUUUGCAAGUUGGUGAUGACGUUUAUGACUUGGUAGCCAUAUUGGAAGGGUUCAUGAUUUCUUUUGCUUACAACUUCCACGCACAAUUUUUGGGUGACUUAAGAAUGUUACCCUGAAAUGUCCUGCUAUUGAAACACUGUGUGUGUGUGUGUGUGUGUGUGUGUGUCUGAAUGUGUGCCUCUGUGUAAGCUAUUUAAGCUUUAUAUGGUCCUGCUCUCCUCUUGGGUGCACAAACUCCUGCCCAUAGCUGCCUUAAGUCUUGGAGAGACACAAGAAUGGGACAACAAGAAUGGCCCCCUAGGGUUCAGCCUGCACACGGAGCAUAGACAGGACUCCAAAGUCUCUGAUGGCCAGGUGCAAAGGGAAUUCCGGGAGCAAAGGAGGACAGUUUUUCUGGCGGUGUUAGAGUUUGGACUGCAUGACAUCAGUGUGUUUGGGAAGGCACUGACCUCGCCUAUGAAUGAAUGCCCAGCUCUGUACUCAGUCACCAGCUCUGGGCCUCGGCCUUGCCACUGCAUCUCCCUGGGGCUUCAGCUUCCUCAUCUAAUACACGGGGCCAGGUGUUGUUGGAGACCUGUGUCAGGACAAGAUGAAUCCAGCUGCCAAUCCCUGGUGAGAUCCUGGUGCAUCGGGUAGUCAGGUAAGGAGCCCCUUUUAGGGGAAGUCUCCUGCACAUGGUUUACUCUUGUCUUGAGGUGACACUCAUUCCCAGAAAUCCAGAGGCUGAGCCCCAGGCAAGCUUUAGCGGGCUUCCUGCCUCCAAGACGUCUGGGGCCCACUUGCAUGCAGAAAUCGACA